UAAAAUUCUGACUUUAAAUUAUCUGUGUGCUUCAGAGAUUUGGGCAGAAGAAAGGGAGAAGCCCAGCUUCUGUGAACACCUCUGUUACCCGCGUUGACCAUGGAAUAGUGAAAAAUCACUGUUCCUGGUUCACAACUUCAACAACACAGAAGGGCGGCUGUUGUUCAUUCUGGAGCUUCCCUGCAGAACCAAGCAUGUGUAUAUAUUUUCUGGCACAAAUGGGCUCAUUCUAGAAGGAUGCUUGGAAGGUCUGAGAAGCACUGUCCACUCUGUUGGAACAGAAGCAGGCGUGCUGGCCUUAGGUCAGAGGUGCCUUCUUAUCCCCACCUGACAACAAUUCUUUGAUCUGCCUCCACGAGACCCGAAGUUUUGAACCACAGCAUCUGAGUCACACAGCCCAUCACAGGACAUCAGUGUUCCAAGAAAGCAACAGGUACAUCGGGCGCAGUGUCACUUAUGUGUCGGGGCUGGAGGUAAAGCUUCUUUUUAACCCAAAAUCUCCUGGGCUUUUCUCUUUUCUCUAGUUGAGCCAUGAAGUAAAACCGAAGUAGCUGUCAGCAUGGUGGAUUCGGUGCAACAGCUCCUUAGUGUCCCCGCAGGUAGCACAUCACAGGGAAUACCAUUUGCUCUGCUCAUUUACUACUUACCAAAUGUAAUCUGAAACCCCUGUUUCCUAGGAAAUCACUUGUAUCA
rnacentral:lncRNA from 1 species